GACGUAGGGCGCGAGCGUUGUCCGGAUUUAUUGGGCGUAAAGAGCUCGUAGGCGGCUUGUCGCGUCGUCCGUGAAAACCAGGGGCUCAACCCCUGGCUUGCGGUCGAUACGGGCAGGCUAGAGUUCGGUAGGGGAGACUGGAAUUCCUGGUGUAGCGGUGAAAUGCGCAGAUAUCAGGAGGAACACCAGUGGCGAAGGCGGUUCUCUGGGCCUUACCUGACGCUGAGGAGCGAAAGCGUGGGGAGCAAACAGG
rnacentral:rRNA from 1 species